CGCAAGACCUUGCUCUAUUGGAGCGGCCGAUAUCAGAUUAKCUUGUUGGUGGGGUAAAAGCCCACCAAGGCGACGAUCUGUAGCUGGUCUGAGAGGACGACCAGCCACACUGGGACUGAGACACGGCCCAKACUCCUACGGGAGGCAGCAGUGGGGAAUUUUGGACAAUGGGCGCAAGCCUGAUCCAGCCAUGCCGCGUGUGGGAAGAAGGCCUUCGGGUUUGUAAACCACUUUUGUCAGAACGGUUUGUCCUAAUACGGCGAACUAAUGACGGUACCUGAAGAAUAAGCACCGCUAACUACGUGCCAGCAGCCCGCGGUAAUACGUAAGGGUGCAAGCCNUU
rnacentral:rRNA from 1 species